CGGUGUUUAACUGGCGUGAUGUGGGACGUCCUACCGGUGGGCUUAGCCUCGCGAGGGGCGGCCCAACUAAUAUCCCGUCGCGGUGCUCUUUACUGAGUGUCGAGUCGGGCCGGUACGUUUACUUUGAACAAAUUAGAGUGCUUAAAGCAGGCUAUCCUCGCCUGAAUACUGCGUGCAUGGGAAUAAUGGAAUAGGACCUCGGUUCUAUUUUGUUGGUUUUCGGAACCCCGAGGUAAUGAUUAAUAGGGACAGAUGGGGGCAUUCGUAUUGCGACGUUAGAGGUGAAAUUCUUGGAUCGUCGCAAGACGGACAGAAGCGAAAGCAUUUGCCAAAAAUGUUUUCAUUAAUCAAGAACGAAAGUUAGAGGUUCGAAGGCGAUCAGAUACCGCCCUAGUUCUAACCAUAAACGAUGCCAGCUAGCGAUCCGCCGAAGUUCCUCCGAUGACUCGGCGGGCAGCUUCCGGGAAACCAAAGCUUUUGGGUUCCGGGGGAAGUAUGGUUGCAAAGCUGAAACUUAAAGGAAUUGACGGAAGGGCACCACCAGGAGUGGAGCCUGCGGCUUAAUUUGACUCAACACGGGAAACCUCACCAGGCCCAGACACCGGAAGGAUUGACAGAUUGAUAGCUCUUUCUUGAUUCGGUGGGUGGUGGUGCAUGGCCGUUCUUAGUUGGUGGAGCGAUUUGUCUGGUUAAUUCCGAUAACGAACGAGACUCUAGCCUGCUAAAUAGGCGUACCUUAUGGUAUCGCGAAGGCCCCCGGCUUCGGCCGGUGGGUUUUUACUACCAACGUACAAACAAAUCUUCUUAGAGGGACAGGCGG
rnacentral:rRNA from 1 species